rnacentral:tRNA from 1 species
AAUGAUGUGCCUGAAUUAAAAAGGAUUAUUUUGAUAGAAUAAAUUAUGUAAAAAUUUACCUUCAUUU